UACGUAGGGGGCGAGCGUUGUCCGGAUUUAUUGGGCGUAAAGCGCGUGUAGGCGGCUUAGCAAGUCGGGCGUGAAAGCCCUCGGCUCAACCGAGGAAGUGCACCCGAAACUGCUGAGCUUGAGUGCCGGAGAGGAUGGCGGAAUUCCCCAAGUAGAGGUGAAAUUCGUAGAUAUGGGGAGGAACACCGGUGGCGAAGGCGGCCAUCUGGACGGUAACUGACGCUGAGACGCGAAAGCGUGGGUAGCAAACAGG
rnacentral:rRNA from 1 species